GACAUACAAGUAGUAGGGAAGGAAACUGGACCGACCUUCGGGAGCUUGUACAGGUGCUGCAUGGCUGUCGUCAGCUCGUGUCGUUGAGAUGUUCGGUUAAGUCCGCUAACGAGCGCAACCCUCGCUGUGUGUUUACAAGUGUCACACGGAACUGCCGGUCAUAAACCGGAGGAAGGUGGGAUGACGUCAAGUCAGCAUGGCCUUUAUAUCCUGGGCUACACACACGCUACAAUGGGAAGGGACAAUAGGUUGCGAAGCCGCGAGGCGGAGCCAAUCCAGCAAAACUUCCCUCAGUUCAGAUUGCAGGCUGCAACCCGCCUGCAUGAAGUUGGAGUUGCUAGUAAACGCAGGUCAGCCAUACUGCGUUGAAUACGUUCCCGGGGCUU
rnacentral:rRNA from 1 species